GGGUUUAGAGUUGCUAGGGUUUAGAGUUGCUAGGGUUUAGAGUUGCUAGGGUUUAGAGUUGCUAGGGUUUAGAGUUGCUAGGGUUUAGAGUUGCUAGGGUUUAGAGUUGCUAGGGUUUAGAGUUGCUAGGGUUUAGAGUUGCUAGGGUUUAGAGUUGCUAGGGUUUAGAGUUGCUAGGGUUUAGAGUUGCUAGGGUUUAGAGUUGCUAGGGUUUAGAGUUGCUAGGGU